AGUAUCCUCCGCGCUAGUGUAGGCUGUCGGUCCUCGGGGCACCACAGGGCAUGGCAGGAAGGUUGUCCUAUCACCCAGUCAUGGGUUAUGCAGAAGCACUCAAGAGCACUAGCCUUGCAAAACUACAGUUCCAAGGACUGCAUGUGAUAUUUGAAAUGUAUGUUUUAUGAACUCUUAAAGAAAUACCACACAUAAUCUCUGCUUAUAUUGUAACAUACUAUAAACAACUGGUAUAAUGUUUACCUCAUGGGUGCUGUUUGAACCAUAGAAGCUCUAUCCUUCAGAAUAAUUUAAAAUUAUUUUUAAAAUUAAU
rnacentral:lncRNA from 1 species